rnacentral:rRNA from 1 species
GAUGAACGCUGGCGGCGUGCCUAAUACAUGCAAGUCGAGCGAACGGACGAGAAGCUUGCUUCUCUGAUGUUAGCGGCGGACGGGUGAGUAACACGUGGAUAACCUACCUAUAAGACUGGGAUAACUUCGGGAAACCGGAUCUAAUACCGGAUGAUAUUUUGAACCGCAUGGUUCAAAAGUGAAAGACGGUCUUGCUGUCACUUAUAGAUGGAUCCGCGCUGCAUUAGCUAGUUGGUAAGGUAACGGCUUACCAAGGCAACGAUGCAUAGCCGACCUGAGAGGGUGAUCGGCCACACUGGAACUGAGACACGGUCCAGACUCCUACGGGAGGCAGCAGUAGGGAAUCUUCCGCAAUGGGCGAAAGCCUGACGGAGCAACGCCGCGUGAGUGAUGAAGGUCUUCGGAUCGUAAAACUCUGUUAUUAGGGAAGAACAUAUGUGUAAGUACCUGUGCACAUCUUGACGGUACCUAAUCAGAAAGCCACGGCUAACUACGUG